ACGGCUGCUCAGCGCACGUAGUCAACUUACCCUAUGGACGAGGAUAAUCUCGGGAAACUGAGCAUAAUACUCGAUAGAUCAUAAUGCCUGGAAUGGUUUAUGGUUGAAAUGAUUCGUCGCCAUAGGAUGGGACUGCGGCCUAUCAGCUUGUUGGUGAGGUAAUGGCCCACCAAGGCGAUUACAGGUACGGGCUCUGAGAGGAGAAGCCCGGAGAUGGGUACUGAGACAAGGACCCAGGCCCUAUGGGGCGCAGCAGGCGAGAAAACUUUGCAAUGUGCGAAAGCACGACAAGGUUAAUCCGAGUGAUUUCUGCUAAAGAAAUCUUUUGCAAGUCAUAAAACCACUAGUGAAUAAGGGGUGGGCAAGUUCUGGUGUCAGCCGCCGCGGUAAAACCAGCACCUCAAGUGGUCAGGAGGAUUAUUGGGCCUAAAGCAUCCGUAGCCGGCUCUGUAAGUUUUCGGUUAAAUCCAUGUGCUCAACGCAUGGGCUGCCGAAAAUACUGCAUAGCUAGGGAGUGGGAGAGGUAGACGGUACUCGGUAGGAAGGGGUAAAAUCCUUUGAUCUAUCGAUGACCACCUGUGGCGAAGGCGGUCUACCAGAACACGUUCGACGGUGAGGGAUGAAAGCUGGGGGAGCAAACCGGAUUAGAUACCCGGGUAGUCCCAGCUGUAAACGAUGCAGACUCGAUGAUGCAUUGGCAUAUAUCCAGUGCAGUGUCGCAGGGAAGCCGUUAAGUCUGCCGCCUGGGAAGUACUUACGCAAGUAUGAAACUUUAAAGGAAUUGGCGGGGGAGCAA
rnacentral:rRNA from 1 species